rnacentral:rRNA from 1 species
GACGUAGGGCGCGAGCGUUGUCCGGAUUUAUUGGGCGUAAAGAGCUCGUAGGCGGCUUGUCGCGUCGACUGUGAAAACCCGCAGCUCAACUGCGGGCUUGCGGACGAUACGGGCAGGCUGGAGUUCGGUAGGGGAGACUGGAAUUCCUGGUGUAGCGGUGAAAUGCGCAGAUAUCAGGAGGAACACCGGUGGCGAAGGCGGGUCUCUGGGCCGAUACUGACGCUGAGGAGCGAAAGCGUGGGGAGCGAACAGG